rnacentral:rRNA from 1 species
GACGUAGGGCGCGAGCGUUGUCCGGAAUUAUUGGGCGUAAAGAGCUCGUAGGCGGUUUGUCGCGUCUGGUGUGAAAAUCCAGGGCUUAACCCUGGACCUGCAUCGGGUACGGGCAGACUAGAGUGCGGUAGGGGAGAUCGGAAUUCCUGGUGUAGCGGUGAAAUGCGCAGAUAUCAGGAGGAACACCGGUGGCGAAGGCGGAUCUCUGGGCCGUAACUGACGCUGAGGAGCGAAAGCAUGGGGAGCGAACAGG